UUUUAUGGCGGCUGUACGUGGGAGGUCUUCGGGCCUGCCGGAAAUAAGUGCCUCUCGACCGGUCUUGCACACCCGCGUACAGCUGCCACCCUC
rnacentral:antisense_RNA from 1 species